CUCCACCCACAGUGAAAAGAGGCCACGUGAGGACACAGAAAGAAGGCAGCCAUCCACAAGCCAGAAAGAGGAGAGAAGCCUCACCAGAAACCAACCCUGAUGGCACCUUGGUCAUGGACUUUUAGCCUCUAGAACUGCGUGAGAAUAAAUGUCUGUGGUAUAAGGCACUCAAUCUGUGGCAUUUUGCUAGGGCAGCCUGAAUAGAUGAAUGCAGCCAGGCACACUGUUCUAAGCAUGAGCAACAGGGCAGUGAGCAAACAGAUGAGGUCUCUAUGCUCACAGAGCUUACAUGCUGGUAGCGGGAGAGACUCGUCCCCUGGAUCCUUCCACCCAAAGAGAUCAGCUUUGCAAGCCAGGCAUCUCAGUGAAUGACACCAUGACCAAAGUUCUGCCCUUCUCAAUCACCACUUUCCUGAUGGAUGCCUGUUCAUUCUAAAUCUAUGCUACUGAAGGAGUCGUUCAGUGACUCACCUGAACAAACAUCUCUUUCAGGACUUCUCUCCCCACCUCUAGUUCCAGAAGAGGCUGGAAUUAUUUUUCAGGAGCAGCGAUACGAUCCUGAUAGCAACAAUAUGUAUUCAAAAAGCAACAACUAUUGAAGGGUGUGAAUGAGAUGGGAGCCUUUUCCUUUGAAUCAUAACACAACAUCAUGUUUUGUCCUCAGAGUAACUAGAGUGACAUGGAAUUGACAUUGGAUGCACUGGUCAGGGCAGAGGGAGAAAGCAGCCGGGGUGGUAGAUGGCUUUGUCUAUCUUCUUCUCUUUUGGCCUGGAAGCUAAGCAGUUAGGAGCAAGUCUACCUGUCCUUAUUAGCUGACCAACUGAGGGUGACCCUGGGGAACAGAUGAAGAAGAACAGAAAGAAGAUUCCAGGACUGGAUUUCUACCCCAGCAUAACUCUUGAAUGGAUUAAGCCAGCACCCCUUGAAUGUGAACUCUUGAGACUACGGAGCGACUGUGAUUGCUGCAGUGCAGAGUACAAAUUCGUUCAAGAAAACUGCCCUGGCCAGGUGUGGUGGCUCAAGCCUGUAAUCCCAGCACUUCAGGAGGCUGAGGUGGGUGUAUCACCUGAGGUCAGGAGUUCGAGACCAGCCUGCCCAACAUGGUGAAACUUCGUCUCUACAAAAAGACAAAAAUUACCCAGGCACGAUGGUAGGUGCCUGUAAUCCCAGCUACUUUGGAGGCUGAGGCGGGAGAGUCGCUUGAACCGGGGAGGCAGAGGUUGCAGUGAGCAGAGAUUGCACCACUGCACUCCAGCCUGGGUGACAGAGCCAGGCUCCGUCUCAAAACAAAAACAAAACCAAAAACAAACAAACAAAAAAAAAACUGCCUUGUUUUUCUGAAAGCCUUGGGCCCUCACCUGUGUUUGUUCUGGAGCCCCAGGCAGCUGCCCUUACCUGCUCUCUUUUUCCAGGGACCUCUGGUCAAACAAAUCAAUUUAAAACAUCAAGUGCUGGAGGAACACAAACACAGGCAGCAGGAGAGGCCUCAAGGUGCCAGGCUCUGCUUUCAGCGGCUCUGGGUUUCCAAGCACGUUCCAAAAAUAUAACCCCCACUGCCAUGGCAAACCUGCCUUUGAUAAAACACAAUGUACAAUCUCUAAUGUUGACACAGAACAGAUGGGACUUUGAUUUUUUAAAAAUCUGUUCUUGAUAGAAGUGAAAUAGGCAUAAUGGAUUUUUCCCUUUUUUUUUUGGAUUUGGACUUCUAUUUUUUUCUUAUCACAUGCAUACCGAACACAGAAUCUUUCCAUUCUCUCUCUUUGUUUCUGUCAUAGGUUAUUUCUGUAAGUAAGAGUCUCUGGUUGACCAAGUCUUGCUUUUCUCAUUAACCAAACAGGAUGCAGAUUACUAGCCCCAUGUCCCUUUUAUCUGGGGAAAAAAAAAAAUCAGUCAUGGGAGCCACACACCAAGGGUGUCCUCAGACUUAGAGGCAACAAGACAAUGGCUUAUCAACAACGAUGUACUGAGUGACUGCUGAGCAGGGGGUACAGUAAGGGGAGGGGGAAGUUAUCCCUCACCUACCCCACAUGCAAUCGUAAUCUAAAUGCAGAAUGGACCUGCCAUGCCAACUCAGCCUGAAUACAAGCCCCAACAGAUUGCAGCCCGUAAACCCCUCCUAAACACGCCUUUAGAGCUGCCCCCGGUCACAAAACAAGCCCUUUCCAAGCCCUCCAUAACUCCUCAGAGCAUCGUCUGUGCACAGGGUGUUCUUGCAGGGAGGGAGUCACCCCUCACAUGAUUCCAUUCCCAUAACAACAGUUGUUACAGGGGCAGAAUGCAACAGACACUGACAGACGGAUUUAGGCCCUCUACGUUAACCCUAAAUUGUCUGACUAGAUGAUGAUAGGCGUGCCUGACAGUCAGUGGCUCAAGCCACAUUACACCUUACUCUUAUACUUUAUUUCCUUCUAUCCUACAAGACUCCUGGGCAGGAGGUGAAAUUUAAAGAGAGGGAAAGAGAAACGCAGCAAAGAAUCAUGGCUCAGGGUAGUGGGAUGUUCUGCUCUAUGUCGAGAGUGGCUUAGCUUUUGUUUUCAAUCCGGCAGGCUUCUUCUAGGGCAGUUGGAUUGAUUCAAAGGGAUGAAAGGCAGAGUUGUGUGGAAGAGGGAGCACAAGUUUCAAUGGCCCUCCCAAGUCCGGUUCACAGUCCCACCACUCUAUAGGGAUUGGUGUGGUGGGAAGAGGGCUGAGGGAGAUUUACUAGGUUAUGAGACUGGUAAAGAAUACACACUGGGAAUCUUACCUCAUAUUCUCCUAGAUUCCAAUCUCUCCAACACAAAUUAAAUUGCCCUAACCAUUUUUCUAGAAUGAUCUGGAAAUAUGAACUAUUCAUAUUUCUUUCCCAACUAUUUCACAGAAAAAAUGUUUAUACAGAAUUUUUAAAAAAGUUACAGAGACAAAAAAGAUUGAUGCAUUAUUUCAUUUUGUGAGCUAGCUACAAAAAAGAAGUCUAUUUAUAUUUUUUAUCUAUUCCACAUGCAUUAGCAGAGCAUCCUCUUGGUGGAUUUCCAAAACCCGAUGUUGUGGCAUGCAACAAAGAGGACACUUGUCAUUCUAUUUGCCCUGUUAAUGAUUUUUGCAUUCUGAUGACCAACUCCACUUGGAACCCCCAUGACUCAUGUCAAGGAACUAACUCAACUGGUCCUGUAACUCUCACCCAGGAACUGACUCAGCACAUGAAGAAUGUUUUUCGACACUCCUAUGAUUUCAUCAUCAACCAGUCAGCAGCACCCAUUCCCUAGCCACCUGCCUGCCACAUCAUUUUUAAAAACUCUACCCUCUC
rnacentral:lncRNA from 1 species